CUUGCCUAUCAGAGGGGGAUAACCCGGCGAAAGUCGGACUAAUACCGCAUGAAGCAGGGAUCCCGCAUGGGGAUAUUUGCUAAAGAUUCAUCGCUGAUAGAUAGGCAUGCGUUCCAUUAGGCAGUUGGCGGGGUAACGGCCCACCAAACCGACGAUGGAUAGGGGUUCUGAGAGGAAGGUCCCCCACAUUGGUACUGAGACACGGACCAAACUCCUACGGGAGGCAGCAGUGAGGAAUAUUGGUCAAUGGCCGAGAGGCUGAACCAGCCAAGUCGCGUGAGGGAUGAAGGUUCUAUGGAUCGUAAACCUCUUUUAUAAGGGAAUAAAGUGCGGGACGUGUCCCGUUUUGUAUGUACCUUAUGAAUAAGGAUCGGCUAACUCCGUGCCAGCAGCCGCGGUAAUACGGAGGAUCCGAGCGUUAUCCGGAUUUCUUGGGUUUAAAGGGUGCGUAG
rnacentral:rRNA from 1 species